rnacentral:rRNA from 1 species
GACGAACGCUGGCGGCGUGCUUAACACAUGCAAGUCGAGCGGUAAGGCCCUUUCGGGGGUACACGGGCGGCGAACGGGUGAGUAACACGUGGGUGACCUGCCCUCAGCUCUGGGAUAAGCCUGGGAAACCGGGUCUAAUACCGGAUAUGACUCCAUGACGCAUGUUGUGGGGUGGAAAGCCUUGUGCGGCUGAGGAUGGGCCCGCGGCCUAUCAGCUUGUUGGUGGGGUGAUGGCCUACCAAGGCGACGACGGGUAGCCGGCCUGAGAGGGCGACCGGCCACACUGGGACUGAGACACGGCCCAGACUCCUACGGGAGGCAGCAGUGGGGAAUCUUGCGCAAUGGGCGAAAGCCUGACGCAGCGACGCCGCGUGAGGGAUGAC